UUUGAUCCUGGCUCAGGACGAACGCUGGCGGCGUGCCUAAUACAUGCAAGUCGAGCGAACCACUUCGGUGGUUAGCGGCGGACGGGUGAGUAACACGUGGGCAACCUGCCUGUAAGACUGGGAUAACUUCGGGAAACCGGAGCUAAUACCGGAUAAUCCUUUUYCUCUCAUGAGGAAAAGCUGAAAGUCGGUUUCGGCUGWCACUUACAGAUGGGCCCGCGGCGCAUUAGCUAGUUGGUGAGGUAACGGCUCACCAAGGCGACGAUGCGUAGCCGACCUGAGAGGGUGAUCGGCCACACUGGGACUGAGACACGGCCCAGACUCCUACGGGAGGCAGCAGUAGGGAAUCUUCCACAAUGGACGAAAGUCUGAUGGAGCAACGCCGCGUGAGCGAUGAAGGCCUUCGGGUCGUAAAGCUCUGUUGUUAGGGAAGAACAAGUACCGGAGUAACUGCC
rnacentral:rRNA from 1 species